rnacentral:rRNA from 1 species
AGAGUUUGAUCCUGGCUCAGGAUGAACGCUAGCGACAGGCUUAACACAUGCAAGUCGAGGGGCAGCACAGGUAGCAAUACCGGGUGGCGACCGGCGCACGGGUGAGUAACGCGUAUGCAACUUGCCUAUCAGAGGGGGAUAACCCGGCGAAAGUCGGACUAAUACCGCAUGAAGCAGGGAUCCCGCAUGGGAAUAUUUGCUAAAGAUUCAUCGCUGAUAGAUAGGCAUGCGUUCCAUUAGGCAGUUGGCGGGGUAACGGCCCACCAAACCGACGAUGGAUAGGGGUUCUGAGAGGAAGGUCCCCCACAUUGGUACUGAGACACGGACCAAACUCCUACGGGAGGCAGCAGUGAGGAAUAUUGGUCAAUGGCCGAGAGGCUGAACCAGCCAAGUCGCGUGAGGGAUGAAGGUUCUAUGGAUCGUAAACCUCUUUUAUAAGGGAAUAAAGUGCGGGACGUGUCCCGUUUUGUAUGUACCUUAUGAAUAAGGAUCGGCUAACUCCGUGCCAGCAGCCGCGGUAAUACGGAGGAUCCGAGCGUUAUCCGGAUUUAUUGGGUUUAAAGGGUGCGUAGGCGGCCUUUUAAGUCAGCGGUGAAAGUCUGUGGCUCAACCAUAGAAUUGCCGUUGAAACUGGGGGGCUUGAGUAUGUUUGAGGCAGGCGGAAUGCGUGGUGUAGCGGUGAAAUGCAUAGAUAUCACGCAGAACCCCGAUUGCGAAGGCAGCCUGCCAAGCCAUUACUGACGCUGAUGCACGAAAGCGUGGGGAUCAAACAGGAUUAGAUACCCUGGUAGUCCACGCAGUAAACGAUGAUCACUAGCUGUUUGCGAUACACUGUAAGCGGCACAGCGAAAGCGUUAAGUGAUCCACCUGGGGAGUACGCCGGCAACGGUGAAACUCAAAGGAAUUGACGGGGGCCCGCACAAGCGGAGGAACAUGUGGUUUAAUUCGAUGAUACGCGAGGAACCUUACCCGGGCUUAAAUUGCACUCGAAUGAUCCGGAAACGGUUCAGCUAGCAAUAGCGAGUGUGAAGGUGCUGCAUGGUUGUCGUCAGCUCGUGCCGUGAGGUGUCGGCUUAAGUGCCAUAACGAGCGCAACCCUUGCCACUAGUUACUAACAGGUAAAGCUGAGGACUCUGGUGGGACUGCCAGCGUAAGCUGCGAGGAAGGCGGGGAUGACGUCAAAUCAGCACGGCCCUUACAUCCGGGGCGACACACGUGUUACAAUGGCGUGGACAAAGGGAGGCCACCUGGCGACAGGGAGCGAAUCCCCAAACCACGUCUCAGUUCGGAUCGGAGUCUGCAACCCGACUCCGUGAAGCUGGAUUCGCUAGUAAUCGCGCAUCAGCCAUGGCGCGGUGAAUACGUUCCC